UUUCCAGACUCCUACGGGAGGCAGCAGUGAGGAAUAUUGGUCAAUGGGCGGGAGCCUGAACCAGCCAAGCCGCGUGAGGGAAGAAGGUACAGCGUAUCGUAAACCUCUUUUGUCAGGGAGCAACGCCGGCUACGUGUAGCCGGACUGAGAGUACCUGAAGAAAAAGCAUCGGCUAACUCCGUGCCAGCAGCCGCGGUAAUACGGAGGAUCCGAGCGUUAUCCGGAUUUAUUGGGUUUAAAGGGAGCGUAGAUGGGUUGUUAAGUCAGUUGUGAAAGUUUGCGGCUCAACCGUAAAAUUGCAAUUGAUACUGGCAGCCUUGAGUACAGUUGAGGUAGGCGGAAUUCGUGGUGUAGCGGUGAAAUGCUUAGAUAUCACGAAGAACUCCGAUUGCGAAGGCAGCCUACUAAACUGCCACUGACAUUGAUGCUCGAAAGUGUGGGUAUCAAACAGGAUUAGAUACCCUCGUAAG
rnacentral:rRNA from 1 species